CCGUACACAAAAGCGCAUGUGCUGUGAGCUCGAUGAGUAGGGCGGGACACGUGGUAUCCUGUCUGAAUAUGGGGGGACCAUCCUCCAAGGCUAAAUACUCCUGACUGACCGAUAGUGAACCAGUACCGUGAGGGAAAGGCGAAAAGAACCCCGGCGAGGGGAGUGAAAAAGAACCUGAAACCGUGUACGUACAAGCAGUGGGAGCACCCUUCGGGGUGUGACUGCGUACCUUUUGUAUAAUGGGUCAGCGACUUAUAUUCUGUAGCAAGGUUAACCGUAUAGGGGAGCCGGAGGGAAACCGAGUCUUAACCGGGCGUUAAGUUGCAGGGUAUAGACCCGAAACCCGGUGAUCUAGCCAUGGGCAGGUUGAAGGUUGGGUAACACUAACUGGAGGACCGAACCGACUAAUGUUGAAAAAUUAGCGGAUGACCUGUGGCUGGGGGUGAAAGGCCAAUCAAACCGGGAGAUAGCUGGUUCUCCCCGAAAGCUAUUUAGGUAGCGCCUCGUGAAUUCAUCUCCGGGGGUAGAGCACUGUUUCGGCUAGGGGGCCAUCCCGGCUUACCAACCCGAUGCAAACUGCGAAUACCGGAGAAUGUUAUCACGGGAGACACACGGCGGGUGCUAACGUCCGUCGUGAAGAGGGAAACAACCCAGACCGCCAGCUAAGGUCCCAAAGUCAUGGUUAAGUGGGAAACGAUGUGGGAAGGCCCAGACAGCCAGGAUGUUGGCUUAGAAGCAGCCAUCAUUUAAAGAAAGCGUAAUAGCUCACUGGUCGAGUCGGCCUGCGCGGAAGAUGUAACGGGGCUAAACCAUGCACCGAAGCUGCGGCAGCGAACGUAUCACCCAAGACAACUUUACGGAGUUGACGAUUGACGGAGCGAAGCGACGUCAAAGCGUUCAUUAAAGUCGAGUUGGCUUAGGGAUACGUUCGUUGGGUAGGGGAGCGUUCUGUAAGCCUGUGAAGGUGUGUCGUGAGGCAUGCUGGAGGUAUCAGAAGUGCGAAUGCUGACAUAAGUAACGAUAAAGCGGGUGAAAAGCCCGCUCGCCGGAAGACCAAGGGUUCCUGUCCAACGUUAAUCGGGGCAGGGUGAGUCGACCCCUAAGGCGAGGCCGAAAGGCGUAGUCGAUGGGAAACGGGUUAAUAUUCCCGUACUUGGUGUUACUGCGAAGGGGGGACGGAGAAGGCUAUGUUGGCCGGGCGACGGUUGUCCCGGUUUAAGCGUGUAGGUGUGUGUUCCAGGUAAAUCCGGUUCACUUUAACACUGAGGCGUGACGACGAGGCACUACGGUGCUGAAGCAACAAAUGCCCUGCUUCCAGGAAAAGCCUCUAAGCAUCAGGUAACACGAAAUCGUACCCCAAACCGACACAGGUGGUCAGGUAGAGAAUACCAAGGCGCUUGAGAGAACUCGGGUGAAGGAACUAGGCAAAAUGGUGCCGUAACUUCGGGAGAAGGCACGCUGACACGUAGGUGAAGUGAUUUACUCAUGGAGCUGAAGUCAGUCGAAGAUACCAGCUGGCUGCAACUGUUUAUUAAAAACACAGCACUGUGCAAACACGAAAGUGGACGUAUACGGUGUGACGCCUGCCCGGUGCCGGAA
rnacentral:rRNA from 2 species